rnacentral:rRNA from 1 species
UACGGAGGUGGCAAGCGUUGUUCGGAUUUAUUGGGCGUAAAGGGUCCGUAGGCGGUUUGGAAAGUCAGAUGUGAAAUCCCACAGCUCAACUGUGGAACUGCAUUUGAAACUUCCAGACUAGAGUAUGAGAGGGGUUAAGGGAAUUCCCGGUGUAAGGGUGAAAUCUGCAGAGAUCGGGAGGAACACCAGUGGCGAAAGCGGCUACCUGGCCCACUCUUGACGCUGAGGCGCGAAAGCUAGGGGAGCAAACGGG